ensembl:lncRNA LOC120095067 uncharacterized LOC120095067
ACAGUGCCCAACUAGGCAACUAUCCUUCUGAACCCACCCGCUUCGCUCUCAGCCUGCUCAACUAAAGACUGGAAGAAGGGACUGCUAACGGGUCCCUGAGUGAAGGAAGAAGGGACCAGACUCUACCUUGCAGUCUGCAUACAUGAGCAACAAGAAAUACGUAGUUCCUGAGUCAACAUGGCCUUCUUCAGCUCUGUGCCUUCUCCUUCAAAUGAUGUGAGCUCUGCUCAUCACAAAGGGCCAGGGAUGUAAGAAGUGCCGACAGGCCAGGGAGGACAACUUUUGACAGCAAACCAGGACACCAGAUCAACUUCAGAACACCAACCAUUAGCUUUAUGACAGAGACAACAGACUUCAGCCUCUAAGCACUGAACAGGAGGACAGCAGAGGAAGAGGGUCUCACCUUCCUCUCUAGAUCCACGAAUGGAAGGAAAAAAAAGAACCCCCAGAAGCAAAAACCAAAACCAUCUGCACAACAGAGAUACAAGCUGAGCACGGGAGAUCCUGGGAGCCACCCACUGCCCUAGUCACACGUCACUACCUGCCAGUACUGGAACGAGCGAGUGGGAAAUGGCUCUCUAAAGUCUCCUGAUCUCAUCAUGAAGAACAUGAGACGCAGAGAACCACAGAACUACAUGGACAACCCAUAGGAGAUGACCUCUCUAUAAAAUCAGUGAAGCAAACAUGACCCUGCUAGGACUGUGGACUCUAACAGAAAGGCAUCAUGAGCCCAGGUUACAUACGAGUAUCCAGAUGCAAAGGCAAACACAGGCAUGGAUGCAGCCACACUGAGCUGCAAACAUUUGGAUCUAGCAAUUCACACGGAGGAGAUGAGAUCACUUAGAACACAUGCACAGACAGUAGCUGGUCAGGCAAGAGUUAUUCCGAGAUGGCACCCUAUCCUGAUGUUUGGGAGACUCAAAAGAGAAGGUGGCAUCCCAAAGAUGUCUGGACAAAAAUUCAACCUAAAAUGCAACCCAUUAGAACUACACUGAAGAGCUCCGUACCAACCGAUCUGAUCUAAUGAGUUUGAAUUGUAGACACAAGAAGCAGCACCAACACUUAAGACAGGUGGGAAGGGAUGAUGGCAGCACUCAUCCCACAAAGGAAGAAAACUUGGC